rnacentral:rRNA from 1 species
AACGUAGGAGACGAGCGUUAUCCGGAUUUACUGGGCGUAAAGCGUGUGCAGGCGGCUCGGUAAGUUGGAUGUGAAAUCUCCCGGCUCAACUGGGAGGGGUCGUUCAAUACUACCGAACUUGAGGUCAUCAGAGGAAGAUGGAAUUCCCGGUGUAGUGGUGAAAUGCGUAGAUAUCGGGAGGAACACCAGUGGCGAAGGCGGUCUUCUGGGAUGAUCCUGACGCUCAGACACGAAAGCUAGGGGAGCGAACGGG